rnacentral:rRNA from 1 species
GAUGAACGCUGGCGGCGUGCCUAACACAUGCAAGUCGAGCGGACGGACGAGGCUUUCGCUUCGCUGAAGUUACCGACGGGCGGGUAAGUAAUAGGUGUAUAACCGAUCUUUAAGACUGAGGUCACUUCACGGAAGCGGAUCUCACACCGGAUCAUAUUUUGAACGGGAUGGUUCUACAGUGAUAGCCGUUUUUGCUGACCCUAAUAGAUGUAUCCGCGCUGGAUUAGUUAGGUGGUAGGGUAACGGCCUACCAAGGCGACGAUGCGUAGCCGACCUGAGAGGAUGAUCGGCCACACUGGAACUGAGACACGGUCCAGACUCCUACGGGAGGCAGCAGUAGGGAAUCUUCGGCAAUGGGCGAAAGCCUGAUGGAGCAACGCCGCGUGAGUGAUGAAGGUCUUCGGAUCGUAAAGCUCUGUUAGUAGGGAGGAACGUAUGUAUGAUAAAAUGUUGAUGUUUUGACGGUACCUACACAAAAAGCCACGGCUAACUACGUG